GAAUCCUUAGGGAUUUAGUGGCGGACGGGUGAGUAACACGUAAGAACCUGCCUCUAGGACGGGGACAACAGUUGGAAACGACUGCUAAACCCGGAUGAGCCGAAAGGUAAAAGAUUAAUCGCCUAGAGAGGGGCUUGCGUCUGAUUAGCUAGUUGGUGAGGUAAGAGCCCACCAAGGCGACGAUCAGUAGCUGGUCUGAGAGGAUGAUCAGCCACACUGGGACUGAGACACGGCCCAGACUCCUACGGGAGGCAGCAGUGGGGAAUUUUCCGCAAUGGGCGAAAGCCUGACGGAGCAAGACCGCGUGGGGGAGGAAGGUUCUUGGAUUGUCAACCCCUUUUCUCAGGGAAGAACACAAUGACGGUACCUGAGGAAAAAGCAUCGGCUAACUCCGUGCCAGCAGCCGCGGUAAUACGGGGGAUGCAAGCGUUAUCCGGAAUGAUUGGGCGUAAAGAGUCCGUAGGUAGUCAUCCAAGUCUGCUGUUAAAGAGCGAGGCUUAACUUCGUAAAGGCAGUGGAAACUGGAAGACUAGAGUGUAGUAGGGGCAGAGGGAAUUCCUGGUGUAGCGGUGAAAUGCGUAGAGAUCAGGAAGAACACCGGUGGCGAAGGCGCUCUGCUGGGCUAUAACUGACACUGAGGGACGAAAGCUAGGGGAGCGAAUGGGAUUAGAUACCCCAGUAGUCCUAGCGGUAAACGAUGGAAACUAGGUGUGGCCUGUAUCGACCCGGGCCGUGCCGAAGCAAACGCGUUAAGUUUCCCGCCUGGGGAGUACGCACGCAAGUGUGAAACUCAAAGGAAUUGACGGGGGCCCGCACAAGCGGUGGAGUAUGUGGUUUAAUUCGAUGCAACGCGAAGAACCUUACCAGGACUUGACAUCUCUGGAAUCUCCUUGAAAGGGGAGAGUGCCGUAAGGAACCAGAAGACAGGUGCUGCAUGGCUGUCGUCAGCUCGUGUCGUGAGAUGUUGGGUUAAGUCCCGCAACGAGCGCAACCCUCGUCGUUAGUUGCCAUCAUUAAGUUGGGAACUCUAGCGAGACUGCCGGUGACAAACCGGAGGAAGGUGAGGAUGACGUCAAGUCAGCAUGGCCCUUACGUCCUGGGCGACACACGUACUACAAUGCGAGGGACACAGAGCAGCCAACCCGCGAGGGAGAGCGAAUCUCACAAACCCUGGCACAGUUCAGAUUGCAGGCUGCAACUCGCCUGCAUGAAGGAGGAAUCGCUAGUAAUCGCAGGUCAGCAUACUGCGGUGAAUCCGUUCCCGGGCCUUGUACACACCGCCCGUCACACCAUGGAAGUGAGCCACGCCCGAAGUCAUUACUCUAACCCUUUCGGGGGAGGAGGGUGCCGAAGGCGGGGUUGAUGACUGGGGU
rnacentral:rRNA from 1 species